AUUGAACGCUGGCGGCAUGCUUUACACAUGCAAGUCGAACGGCAGCGCGGGCUUCGGCCUGGCGGCGAGUGGCGAACGGGUGAGUAAUGCAUCGGAACGUGCCCAGUAGUGGGGGAUAGCCCGGCGAAAGCCGGAUUAAUACCGCAUACGACCUGAGGGUGAAAGCGGGGGACCGAAAGGCCUCGCGCUAUUGGAGCGGCCGAUGUCGGAUUAGCUAGUUGGUGGGGUAAAGGCUUACCAAGGCGACGAUCCGUAGCUGGUCUGAGAGGACGACCAGCCACACUGGGACUGAGACACGGCCCAGACUCCUACGGGAGGCAGCAGUGGGGAAUUUUGGACAAUGGGGGCAACCCUGAUCCAGCCUUGCCGCGUGCGGGAAGAAGGCCUUCGGGUUGUAAACCGCUUUUGUUCGGGAAGAAAUCCUCUGGGCUAAUACCCCGGGGGGAUGACGGUACCGGAAGAAUAAGCACCGGCUAACUACGUG
rnacentral:rRNA from 1 species